AUGGACUCCUGGACCUUCUGCUGUGUGUCCCUUUGCAUCCUGGUAGCGAAGCAUACAGAUGCUGGAGUUAUCCAGUCACCCCGCCAUGAGGUGACAGAGAUGGGACAAGAAGUGACUCUGAGAUGUAAACCAAUUUCAGGCCACAACUCCCUUUUCUGGUACAGACAGACCAUGAUGCGGGGACUGGAGUUGCUCAUUUACUUUAACAACAACGUUCCGAUAGAUGAUUCAGGGAUGCCCGAGGAUCGAUUCUCAGCUAAGAUGCCUAAUGCAUCAUUCUCCACUCUGAAGAUCCAGCCCUCAGAACCCAGGGACUCAGCUGUGUACUUCUGUGCCAGCAGUUUAGC